rnacentral:rRNA from 1 species
CGUGGAUAACCUGCCUCACACAGGGGGAUAACAGUUAGAAAUGACUGCUAAUACCGCAUAAGCGCACGGCAUCGCAUGAUGCAGUGUGAAAAACUCCGGUGGUGUGAGAUGGAUCCGCGUCUGAUUAGGUAGUUGGUGGGGUAAUGGCCCACCAAGCCGACGAUCAGUAGCCGACCUGAGAGGGUGACCGGCCACAUUGGGACUGAGACACGGCCCAA